rnacentral:rRNA from 1 species
AGGGUGUAAACGCUGCAGACUUGGUGUUGGGAACCCUUCGGGGUGCUCAGUGCCGGAGAGAAGUUGUUAAGUCUGCUACUUGGGGAGUACGUCCGCAAGGAUGAAACUUAAAGGAAUUGGCGGGGGAGCACCGCAACGGGAGGAGCGUGCGGUUUAAUUGGAUUCAACGCCGAAAAACUCACCAGCAGCGACUGUUACAUGAAAGUCAGGUUGAUGACCUUACUAGAUUUUCAGAGAGGUGGUGCAUGGCGUCAGUGACU